GAGGAAUAUUGGUCAAUGGACGAGAGUCUGAACCAGCCAAGUAGCGUGAAGGAUGACUGCCCUAUGGGUUGUAAACUUCUUUUAUACGGGAAUAAAGUGGAGUAUGCAUACUCCUUUGUAUGUACCGUAUGAAUAAGGAUCGGCUAACUCCGUGCCAGCAGCCGCGGUAAUACGGAGGAUCCGAGCGUUAUCCGGAUUUAUUGGGUUUAAAGGGAGCGUAGGCGGGUGCUUAAGUCAGUUGUGAAAGUUUGCGGCUCAACCGUAAAAUUGCAGUUGAUACUGGGCGCCUUGAGUGCAGCAUAGGUAGGCGGAAUUCGUGGUGUAGCGGUGAAAUGCUUAGAUAUCACGAAGAACUCCGAUUGCGAAGGCAGCUUACUGGACUGUAACUGACGCUGAUGCUCGAAAGUGUGGGUAUCAAAC
rnacentral:rRNA from 1 species